UGCCACUCGGAGUUCCCCGGCCAUUUUUAUCGAAAAUACAAAAAUCGCCGAGGAGCUCCGAAUGUAGUUUGCGAAAGAGGAGCUAUCACCCGGACUUGAAGACAGUCUGUACUGCUUUCCGCGAGGAGCUAUCACCCGGACUACUGAUCACCCCCAAUCAGCCUGGGUUUCUCUUAGAAAAGACGUCGCCAAUGGCCUCUGUGCACAUUGCACAUGUAUGGAAAGAGAUAAAAAAGGGCUGCACAAGCGUGUGCAUAUUGGUUGGGAAUAAGUGCAGACAUGUUCAGAGUGAAGCCAACAAACUACCUGACCUUUUCAGGCAGCUGCUACACUGGAUCUAGCGUCACAAGUGAACUUGUCUUUCAGUCAUUUCAUGAAUGCUUGCAAGAUUAUCUGCUAUAGAGGACCUUUGUAAAGGAGAAAGUGGAAGACCAAAUGUCAGAAGGGGAUAUGUCAACACCAGGAUCCCAGGUUUAAGCCCCUGCCUCACCACUACGAAAUAUUAACCAUCUUCCGGGAGGGAUGUUAAAUGGAGGUCUGUGUGACAGUGGAAUGCACAGUUUGAUACCAUUUUUGGAUGUGUACCAGUUGGAAGGGGCGUUUGUAUGGGCAGUGAUAACUGACUUCUGAAAGAAUUCACUUACCUCACAACCUCUGGGCGUUACCUCAUGAACCAAACUUGGGUAUGUGAAGAAUGCCUACUCUGGAUGAACUGUUCCAUCUUGUUCGCACUCAAACUCGUCAUCUAAGAAGCCCAGUCUGAGAAUGGCCAUGACUCAUACUUUCCUCCGACACAAUGUUAUUUGAGUGUGGUCUUGUGAUGUGAGGGAAACCAGGGUAUCCGGAAAAAAACAACUUGUCCCGUUUGGUGAACACAAACCAAACUCACAUGCAGUGCCCAGGGCGUGAAUCGAACUGGGGUCACCUAGGUGAAAAGUGAAUGCGCUGACCACUGCGCUUACCGGCUCAAACAACCAAACAGAACCUUGAGAAUGGACUGGCGACAAGGAGAUUGCACUGGCAUGUCUGACAGGUCUCCCACAACUCUUCAAAUUAGACAGAACGCUGCUCUUCUGGUUUUGAAGUGGAGGCUGAUGUGCAAAUACAUGAAGACCCGGCUGACUUGAAGACAAUAUAUAUGCAAAUAGAUGGAUUACAGGGCCUCAUGUUUAUUUUUGUUGUUUUUAUCGCAUUUGCCAUACUUAUUAUUGCUUUUUUCUUCCUCACUGUGCCAUAUGUGUUAAACACAGGAAUUAAAAAUAAUAUUUAUAUAAUUAAACAAUCGGCAAUCAUUCUGAACUUGUUGUUUAGGCAUC